rfam:Cavia porcellus supercont2_67 genomic scaffold, whole genome shotgun sequence.
UGGUGCCCAACGUGGGGCUCGAGAACAGGGGACUUCAUGAGGGACACUGUUCAUGGGCCCAAAGUAGAAAAAGGAAAAGAAAAUAGAGGACCUGGCAACAUGGGAGCCUGCCUCACUGCUGAACCUCGGUAAGUGAACAGUGAUUAUGAGACAAGAAAUUAGCCUGCAUGAUACUUUUGUUGAAAGUUUAGUAAAAGCUUUAAAGAUGUGAGAAGUAAAUGAAAAAAGUAAGCAAUUGUGUCCAUUAGGGCAAGAAAUGAGCCAGCAUGAGAUUUUUGUUGAAAGUUUAGGAAAAGCUUU